UUCUAGUUGCUUCAGAAACGCCUCCUAUGCCAGUUAUGGAUAUGUUGGCUUCUGCUAGCGGCCAAUCCGGAGGCCAAAAUUGUCUAGAAAUUACAGAGACAUCUGCUCCCGUAUCUAGCAGGCCAUGAAAGUUUCUGUCUUUGUUACUUCUAAAAGAGGUUUAUUUAAUUUGAUGGAAGCACUCCAAAAAACAGAUUGGUUAUUAGUACUACCAAAGCCUGUUUCCCCUUUCUUACUAUUUUGAGUAUUUGGGACUGUAUAGGGAAGAAUAAGUUGGGCUAUAUGAGUUUGGAUGGGAAUGACAUGAUAUCCAAAGGUUCUGAUCAUAAUUUUGAUUUCUCCCUGAUAAUCAGAAUCAGUUACUCCAGGCUGGACCAAAAUCUGAUAAAAUCUAGUGGUAAUGCUAGAUCUCCCCAAAAUCAAUCCAGUAGUGCCCUCAGGUAGUGGUCCCCAUACCCCUCAAGAGCUAUGAUGAUUUUAUCCUGUUCUCUUAAGAUGAGUUCCUGCGUAGUGACCAAGUCCAAUCUUGUGCUUCCUCUUGUGGUAGCGCAGAGAUCAGUGACUCAGUCCUGAGUCCAAAACAAUUGGUUGCUGCUGCCUGGAAAACUCCUGUUGGAAUUUGGGGCAUCGGAGUUUGCAGUCCCCACCCCCGCCAAGCCCGUUUCCCUGAGGUAUAAGUGGUUUGCCAUUUUUAUCAUAUUUGGAUCUGCAUUGGUUGGCCCUUGGUAGCCCAAGGACUGUUUGUCCUUGCCACUUUGUGGGCAGUCUUUACUGGUCAGGGUUUUGGGGUUAUUCUUUUGUUUGGUUCAGCACUCCCAGCAGGUGUGUCCUGAUCUGCCACAAUUAAAGCAUUUAAUUUCCUUGAUGGAAAUUAAAGGAAAUUUCCUUUAUGGCAGCCACUAGCAAUGUGGCUCAAUGUUGUUCCGUGCCAGUGUUUUGGCAAGCCUUGGUAAAUUGACUAGUAUUAAUGGUGGUUAGUCUGAGAGGAUUGAGUGCAGCCUUACAAUCAUUAUUUGCAUUUUCAUAAGCCAAUUGUGAUAAAAGGGUCUCAGCUGCUUCCUGACUCUCAACCUGUUUUUGUAUUGCUUCUUGUAGUCUAUCAAAAAAAUCUAAGUGAGCCUCUGUGGCUCCUUGCCAAAUAUUAAUGAAGGAGCCUGGUCCCUGGGCUUUGGCUUCCAGAACUAUCUUCACGGCAUGGAGAGCACCCUGGGAGCAUUGGGAGAAAGCUUGAGGGUCCGUUUCUGCUUGCUCUUCAGUGGAUUCUUAUCGAUCAGUUAGUUCCAAGAAGCAUAUUAAGCUGGAUUGGGUUUCAGCUUCUGCUAUUCUCAGCCGCUUGGUGGCAGCAGUGAUCAGUAUAUUCUGAAUGCCAUACAAUAUACUGGGUGGGUCGGAAGUCUUUGUAUAUUUCAAAAGGGAAAGGUUCAUAGGAUGGCUGACUGCACUGUUUAGUAACAACAGGAAAGGCAGAUAGAGCUUUCCAGUCUCUAGCUUUCGCAGCCUCUCAGAGAUAUUGUUGCAUAUUGGUAGUGGUCUGGCUAAAGGCCAGAGGCAAAUCUACUCAAGGAGAAAGGGGAGGAAGUAGAUCCUCCAGUGAGUUACCCCAUAGUGGGACCGAAGGAGGGCUGGAAGGAAGCCAUCCCCCUCCAUUUGCAGUGGCAGGUUAUUAUUAUUAGGUUUGGCAGCCAUGAAAGGUCCCUUCUUUUAUUCUAAGCUAUCCUGAUUAUGAGGGUUUCUAGUAUGAAUAGGGGUGAGCGCCAUUCUAACUAUGCUUCAGGUUAAUAAAUUCUGAUGCCCUGUAAAGGCCCCAUUUUCCUGAUGUCAUUUUAGUUUCUGCCUUACUUUUUCCCAUACUUUUAAAUCUAAAGAGCCUUUAUCUGGGAACCACACAGAGUAGCUCUUUACUGUCUAUAAUAAGUUAAUUAAAUUCAGUUCUUUAACCUGACAUCCCUCAGCCUUAAGAAGCUGCUGAAGCAGUUGAAAAUAUGUCUUCUGCUCCUUAGAAAGUCCUGAGCCCAUUUUUGCAGCUGGGGUAUUUUAACUUACAGUUUUGUCUUCCUUCUCUUUGGCUUCGCCUACCUCACUCUGUAAGCUUCUUCUGGCUGAUUGCUGGGGACUGAGAUAAAUGUCAUGGGUCAAAGUGUGCUGUUUGUAAGGAGGGCUCCCAAGGGUGUCAUCCUUUGGUCAUCCCUGCCUCUCUCACGUGUCUCGGUUUCUCUCCCAGUCAUCUAAAACUGCUGGGAGGGCUUGGAGAGUGCUGGGUGACCAACCCUUGUAUUGCACAUCCUCAGACAAGCCAGAAGAUUGGAGUUCCCUGUGAGGCCCCUAUACAUCUAGGGGAUUGACCCCAGGCACCUCUGCUAGGCCCCAACUCACAUAGGGACACCCAGAAACUCGGACCAGAGGAAGGAAAUGCCUCUCAUCUUUGGAGUGCGGCCAAAACCGGAGCUCUCAUUCAAUUCAAUUCUUGACUGUUAGUUAUUUAGCUGAUGGUGGCUUCUUAGUAUACCUAAAAGUGGAGGGAGGAGAAGGAAAACCGAAACCAAAUGGCUGUAAGAGGCAGCCCUGAAAGAAAUUCCCCUUUCCCUUUUCAUCUAAGAUGCACUGGCAGCAUAACCAAAAGCACUGGUACCUCUGUCCCUUAUGGUGGGAUGAAGGUGCUGAAUCCCAUCUGUCUAGUGCGUUCUUCGACGAGACCUCAUAGCCUCUCAACUGAUGCACGUCCCCAGUCGAGGGUCCCUGUUUGGGCACCAGUUGAGGUGAACCAUGUUCUGUGGAGUUCUCCUGGUCAUGGAUAAAAUGAAUUAGCCCAGACACAGUCUGUCUGGCAGGAAAGGGGUGACCAUUCCCCCUAGUGGAGAACGCCCCAAGCCCUUCUCCAAAACAGCUUUUAUUGGGAUCCAUAUGUGUAGGGGUAUAUAGCAUACAUGCAUAGCUCAUUAGUCAAUGUCCAAAGGCUAUCAUUAUAGAAAACAGAUAUUAUCUACAGAUAAAAAUUGAAGAAACAGAGAUUUGCCACAGGUUAGGGUCUACUAGACAUAGUGACACCAGAUGGUCAUUAAGGUGUGUUUCAUGAGAUAAGGAGUUCAAAUCCUAGCAUUCAGUGUUGGUUCAUAUCUGCAAAUCAUUUAAGAUUACAUAGUACAUACACAAAAUGAAGGAUAAAAACCAUGUGAUUAUGUCAGAUGCAGAAAAAUCUUUUGACAAAAUUUAACAUUCAUUUAUGAUAAAACCUCAGCAAAGUCAUGAUACAGGAAACAUACCUCAACAUGAAGGCCAUACGUGACAAAUCCACUGAUAACAUCAUGCUCAAUGAAGAAAAACAAAGUUUUUUCUUUAAUAUCAAGAACAAAACAAGAAUAUCCACUUUCACCACUUUUAUUCAACAUUGUAUUGGAAUUGCUAGCUGCUGAAAGCACAAUAAAAAGAACUAAAAGACCUCUAGUUUGGAAAGGAAUAAAGACAACUGUUAUUAUUUGCAGAUGUAAAAGACUUAUACUCAGAAAACCCUAAGAAACUGAGGAAACAAAGAAGAUACAAAUAAAAGUAUAGCAUGUGCUUUUAGAUAGGAAGAAUUAACAUCACUAAAAUGUUCAUACUUCUCAAAGCAAUCUGUAGCUGCAAUUGAAAUCAUAUCAAAAUAGCAAUGUUAUUUUUCACAAAGCUAGAACAAAUAAUCCUAAAUUUUAUAUGGAACCAAGGACCUUGAGUAGAGGUUUCUAGAAAAAAGAACACA